rnacentral:lncRNA from 1 species
CUCAGUGCUGUGCAAGGGCUCUGGGUAUGGUUAUUUACUGUGCAUGCCUUGGUCACACUGUGAAUUGCCACAUGGGUGGCUUCAGCUGGGGCCCAUGUUUGAGUGUUUGUGUUUGGUUCCUAACAGAAGUCCCGGCCUCAGCAGGUGGUGUGGACCUGGCUGUGGCCAACCAGAGGGCACGGAGAAGAGGGAACCCCCCCCAAAUGAAAAAGGCAAAAGAAAGGAUAAAAUUCGCAGCCUAUGGGAGCUGACAACUGAUUGGUUCAUCAAUGAACAAUAUUCAAUUAUGAAGAUGUAA